rnacentral:rRNA from 1 species
UACGAAGGGGGCUAGCGUUGUUCGGAAUUACUGGGCGUAAAGCGCACGUAGGCGGAUCGUUAAGUCAGGGGUGAAAUCCUGGAGCUCAACUCCAGAACUGCCUUUGAUACUGGCGAUCUUGAGUUCGGGAGAGGUGAGUGGAACUGCGAGUGUAGAGGUGAAAUUCGUAGAUAUUCGCAAGAACACCAGUGGCGAAGGCGGCUCACUGGCCCGAUACUGACGCUGAGGUGCGAAAGCGUGGGGAGCAAACAGG